UGUUAAAAUUUUCAUCUAUUUUUACUAUUAAAAACUAAAAUGGCUGGCAAAAUAAUCAAAUAGUUACAUGUGGUACGCCACAUGUACCUCGUUCCAACAUACAAGAACCAAUGUUUAACAGCAAAAAUGGAUGAAAUUUUUAAUA
rfam:Gossypium arboreum cultivar AKA8401 contig_27144_1, whole genome shotgun sequence.